rnacentral:rRNA from 1 species
UACGAAGGGGGCUAGCGUUGCUCGGAAUGACUGGGCGUAAAGGGCGCGUAGGCGGCGAUCAAAGUCAGGCGUGAAAUUCCUGGGCUCAACCUGGGGGCUGCGCUUGAUACUUGGUUGCUUGAGUGGGGAAGAGGGUCGUGGAAUUCCCAGUGUAGAGGUGAAAUUCGUAGAUAUUGGGAAGAACACCGGUGGCGAAGGCGGCUCACUGGACCGUAACUGACGCUCAUGCACGAUAGCGUGGGGAGCAAACAGG